rnacentral:misc_RNA from 1 species
AGAAAACUAAAAUAAUAAAAAAUCAUAAUAUUAAGGUCUUGGCUGAUUUCAUGUAAACAUGAAACAAAUAAAUAAGUGAACAUGUAAUCGACAUGCAAAGUGAAGGAAGUAACCCAAGGAAACACUUAAACGAUCAUACAAGUUGAGAACAUCCACAAAAGGUAGUCAAGAUGGAACAAAAAAGACAAGAGCACUUAUUGCAGCAAACUGUAUGUACGAACAAUGAAUGAAAGAAAAACCGAUCAACAUAAUUUUAUAUGCUUGAAAAAUUUCUAAGGAACUAGUUGGAAACAAACAUGGGUAAUUUAACAGAGAACUUACAACGGCAACAUAUAGGGCAAUUGUAAACACCAGAAGGUAAAAACAGUAUCCUUGCAGUGACACCAAACCAUGACGAAAAUUAAAUCGAACGAAUAUUGUAUUAACUUGAUAGCAUUUCGAUGUCGGUUAAUAACAACAAGUGACACAUGAGUUUCCUAUUUUAUAACAUUUCAAAAGCACGUGAUGUCAAUAUUAACAAUAACACAGAUUCAAAAGAAGAAACACAACAAUAUAACACUUAAACGGGCCUCCAAAACUGGAGUCCAACUCAGGAAAACAAACAAAAUAUAAACUUCAUGUUAAAAUAACAUCAUCCUACUGGUAACUCAGAGAUGAACAAAUACAAGACAGAGG